AGCAGCCGCGGUAAUUCCAGCUCCAAUAGCGUAUAUUAAAGUUGUUGCAGUUAAAAAGCUCGUAGUUGAAUUUCGGGAUUGGCUCAUCGGUCGUGCCUCACGGGGUAUGAACUGGUGCAGUCAAUUUCUCACCUUCUGGAGAACCGCGAUGUCCUUAAUUGGAUGCCGCGGGGAACCAGGACCUUUACUUUGAAAAAUUAGAGUGUUUAAAGCAGGCAUUUUUGCUUGAAUACAUUAGCAUGGAAUAAUAAAAUAGGACGGCAUGGUUCUAUUUUGUUGGUUUCUAGGACCACCGUAAUGAUUAAUAGGGAUAGUUGGGGGCAUUAGUAUUCAAUUGUCAGAGGUGAAAUUCUUGGAUUUAUUGAAGACUAACUACUGCGAAAGCAUUUGCCAAGGAUGUUUUCAUUAAUCAAGAACGAAAGUUAGGGGAUCGAAGACGAUCAGAUACCGUCGUAGUCUUAACCAUAAACUAUGCCGACUAGGAAUCAGACGAUGUUAAUUUUUAAUGUACUCGUUUGGC
rnacentral:misc_RNA from 1 species